rnacentral:rRNA from 1 species
UACGUAGGGUGCGAGCGUUAAUCGGAAUUACUGGGCGUAAAGGGCUCGUAGGCGGCCAACUAAGUCGGAUGUGAAAUCCCCAAGCUUAACUUGGGAACUGCAUCCGAUACUGGAUGGCUUGAAUCCGGGAGAGGGAUGCAGAAUUCCAGGUGUAGCGGUGAAAUGCGUAGAUAUCUGGAGGAAUACCGGUGGCGAAGGCGGCAUCCUGGACCGGCAUUGACGCUGAGGAGCGAAAGCUAGGGGAGCAAACGGG